UGUUGCUUAUUGAUUGAGCUCAGAGUUGAUCGUAAGGUUCGUUUAACCCUUGUUCCUACAUCUUUAGGGUGCUAGGAGACUAGUAGAUACCUUCGUUGGAGCAAACGAAGGAGCGCAAGAGUUGUGGUGGGUUUGGCUUCAUGAAAACGGGGCGAAAUGGCCCCCAUGCUUUCUAUACUCGUCGUAACGUCAUUUUAAAUGCAAAUCUAUGCUAAAUAGAAUUUAUGUGAAUUUUAGAACACUUAAAAUGCAUGUGUUAUGUCACGCCCCGGGACCGAUACCAAUUUGAGCCGGCCCGAGCACGUCAAACAGACGCCGAACGGACAGAGUUUCCCCUGUCCGCCCAAGGCUCAUCACAUGUACAAUUUCAAACAAGAAGUGCACUAGCGGAAACAUACACAAACGGCUUACACGAGGGUAAGCAACAGCCAUGAGUGAGAGAAAGGAACUAAACAUCUACACAAGUACCAUGAUUCUCUUUUGAUCACAUACAUUGCAUUUAACCUCAUAUUCAUAAUUCUUUACAUCACUUGCAUCAUUUCUUUUUACAUCACAUUCUCUCAAAAUAAACAUUACAUUCUUUUUCUUUUACAUCUCAAUUUAUCAAAUACAAAAAAUGAAGUAAGGGAAUGCUACUUCAAAAUGUAAAACUCUGGUGGCCUCUGACUAAGGUGCGAUACCUUUACCACGGUCGCUCGCCGGCUCGCUCGGUCCCGGCUCUGUGGAAAUAGUGGGGUGAGAACUACAACGAAGUUCCCAGUGGGUUCGGCCCCAACAUCACCGACUUUCCCACUAGGACUAACUCAGGCAUAAUAGAAAGGAUAAGCAGAAUAGUAACCAAACUAUAAUCAUGAUGCUAAUAUGCCUGAACAAUAGCAAGGAAUAUGCUCAAUAUAAAUCAUGCAAGUAUGCAAGUUCUUUAUUCUUUUACUCUUUGUUCUUUGUUCUUUAAUCUCACGGCUAACCCGGGGGUUUCGCCACAUUAACUUGCCCACAUUAACUCCAUCAUCGCGGGCCCUCAACUUCCUCCCGCUAAGACCGUCCUCGGGUUUACUCCAACCCGUGAUGCAAAACUCCGGAGCGCAUCGCCCGAGGGGGAGCGACCGCCCUCUAGCACGGAACUCAUAGCAAGUAUGAUCAAUCCUUAACUCUAAGGAUAUAUAGUUCAAUCAUUGUCUUUACACUAACUCUAGUGUUCUUUACAUCACUUUAUUUUGCUAACUUUAGCAAUCAUCGUUCUUUAACUUUACUC
rnacentral:lncRNA from 1 species